rnacentral:rRNA from 1 species
GAUGAACGCUGGCGGCGUGCCUAAUACAUGCAAGUCGAGCGAACAGACGAGGAGCUUGCUCCUCUGACGUUAGCGGCGGACGGGUGAGUAACACGUGGAUAACCUACCGAUAAGACUGGGAUAACUUCGGGAAACCGGAGCUAAUACCGGAUAACAUGUUGAACCGCAUGGUUCAACAGUGAAAGACGGUUUUGCUGUCACUUAUAGAUAGAUCCGCGUCGCAUUAGCUAGUUGGUAAGGUAACGGCUUACCAGGGCAACGAUGCGUAGCCGCCCUGAGAGGGUGAUCGGCCACACUGGAACUGAGACACGGUCCAGACUCCUACGGGAGGCAGCAGUAGGGAAUCUUCCGCAAAGGGCGAAAGCCUGACGGAGCAACGCCGCGUGAGUGAAGAAGGUCUUCGGAUCGUAAAACUCUGUUAUUAGGGAAGAACAAAUGUGUAAGUAACUAUGCACGUCUUGACGGUACCUAAUCAGAAAGCCACGGCUAACUACGUG